rnacentral:rRNA from 1 species
UACGUAGGGUGCAAGCGUUGUCCGGAAUUAUUGGGCGUAAAGAGCUCGUAGGCGGUCUGUCGCGUCGGAUGUGAAACCUCGGGGCUCAACCCCGAGCCUGCAUUCGAUACGGGCAGACUAGAGUUCGGUAGGGGAGACUGGAAUUCCUGGUGUAGCGGUGAAAUGCGCAGAUAUCAGGAGGAACACCGGUGGCGAAGGCGACUACCUGGCCUGUUCUUGACGCUGAGGCGCGAAAGCUAGGGGAGCAAACGGG